rnacentral:lncRNA from 1 species
CGAGGACGUACCCGCAACAGAAAAGAACUUGGACAAUCGAACGGAAUAUGACUUGUGGGAAGGUACGUGUGGUUGGAGAAAUGAGACGAGAAUUUAUAGAUCGCCAAAAUUAACCAUUUAUGGUAUAUUCCUUAAUUAAAUAUGAAUGAAUGCCGUAUGUAGAUUCACAAAUCUACGUCCUUCAUCGCGGAGUACUUCUUUUCUGAUCAGAUGACCACGAACGGAUAUCACCAUUAAUGGAGUAAAUCUUAUAUGACGCAUUUUAGCUUCAUCCGUGCAUUUAAUAGUUGAAUCUAGGCUUGGAAUAUAUAAAUAUUUCGGAUGAUUCGCUGUUUCUCUCGUUGAAAUCAAUUUUGGCUUUUUUCACUCGUCGUGCAUGGAGAGUGAUGUGUGUGGAUUUGAAAAGCUUUACGUACGCACGGCUUAGAAUGCAUUUUAUUUCCUCAAAGAAAAUUAAUUAUAAUUAGCAAUUUAUGAUACACUCCACCUCAUUCUCUUAAUUAAUAUUCCAUUUUUAAAAUU